rnacentral:lncRNA from 1 species
AUGGCAAAACUUAUCGAUGGUGGAAGGAAUAGUAUGAUCCUGAUUAUAAGUUGUACUGUUAUUUUUGUUCAUUAUUCCAAGGAAUUAGCAUUAGUGUUUUUGGGUUGGUCGUAAACUUAACAAUUCACCUUGGACUAGCAUUACCUAUUGAAAUCUUGGAUCUUGUUGAUAUGACAAUUUUUUGUAACUACAUUUUGAUUGCAGAAGCUGCAACCGAGUUUUCUGUUUCACUUAUCCAAGCUUUGGUUGUUGAAGAUUACAAUAUCAUCUCUGAACUUCAUAAUCUUGU